rnacentral:rRNA from 1 species
UACAGAGGUCUCGAGCGUUAGGCGGAAUCACUGGGCUUAAAGCGUGUGUAGGUGGAUGCCUAAGUACCUUGUGAAAUCCCACCGCUCAACGGUGGAACCGCUGGGCAUACUGGCGAUCUUGAGCAGUCCAGGGGCGAGCGGAACAAGCGGUGGAGCGGUGAAAUGCGUAGAUAUCGGAAGGAACACCGGUGGCGAAAGCGGCGCGCUGGACCUCUUCUGACGCGU